rnacentral:rRNA from 1 species
AGCUUUCCCUAGUACGAGAGGACCGGGAAGGACGUACCUCUGGUGUUCCGGUUGUCCCGCCAGGGGCACUGCCGGGUAGCUAUGUACGGAACGGAUAAGCGCUGAAAGCAUCUAAGUGCGAAGCCGGCCCCAAGAUGAGACUUCCCACCCCGAGAGGGGGUAAGGCCGCAGAGAGACUAUCUGCUCGAUAGGCCGCAGGUGUAAGCGCAGCAAUGCGUUCAGCCGAGCGGUACUAAUCGGCCGAGGACUUGACCAU